AUGUUGAUCGUUUGUUUUCGUAAACGGCCGAAUGGUGCUUCGCUUUAAAUGUUGCUGCCGUAAGGAACUGUGUGACGGCAUUAUCUCCUUUCCUUUCGUAAAGGACGGUCCAGUGUGCCCUAUGCUAAAGGAGAUAAGACAGGAAGCAUUGAAGCACAUUUCCUUAGCAUUUAGAGAAUUCGAACAGCUCUUAUCAUGGCUGCCACUUAGAUAUUUCCGGGUCAUUUCACUCAGUUAGGAACCUUCCUAAGCAAAAAAGACUAUUCGGACGCAGCCAGAUAUUUCUGGCAGCGUCCUCUAUUCCGUCUGUCGCAAUUUGAUGACGUCAUCACAAGUGGUGCCACCAUGGAGAAUACGCAUGUCUCAGCCUUCUCUAUUUACGAAAGAGUAUUGCAACAAACUCCUCAGCCAAUUGAGGUUGCCAAGAAGAAGAAACGGAAGACUCAUGUUCAGGUCUCUAAAUCAAACAAUAAGGCUAAAAGAAAGCAUACUGGCACACCUGUUCUAACAGAUGCACAGAAAAUGGUGGGGAUUGAGAAGCCAGGUGUCAAGGAGGUCAGUAAGGUAGUCAAAGGGCCAUCCCUGGACACUGUGCUGACUGGCCUGGCAAAGAUCAAUAACAGCAGAGAGAGAGCCAGUAAGCUUUUCGAAUGGUUGAUCCACCCCAUACCUCCCAAGAUCUUCUUCAGAGAGACGUGGGAGAAGAAACCAACUUUAAUCAAGCGACAAAAUCCAGAAUAUUACAAUGGGCUGUUUUCUACUGCAGAAUUUGACAGGAUUUUGAGAGAUGAUGAAGUUCAGUUUGGGGUGAACCUGGAUGUCACAAGUUACAUUAAUGGCAAGCGGGAGACCCACCAUCCCCCUGGAAGAGCCCUGCCCUUCACUGUCUGGGACUUUUACAAGCGUGGCUGCUCGUUGCGAAUGCUGAAUCCUCAGGCCUUCUCUUCCACGGUCUGGAAUGUGCUGUCCAUCCUACAGGAGCAAUUCAACAGCAUGGUCGGGGCCAACAUGUACUUGACACCUGCUGGAACUCAAGGCUUUGCUCCUCAUUAUGACGACAUUGAAGCUUUUUUGGUCCAGCUGGAAGGAAAGAAGCACUGGAGGGUGUAUAAUCCCAGAUCAGACAAUGAAGUCCUGCCUCUGGUCUCCAGCCGAAAUUUCUGCCAGUCAGAGAUUGGAGAGAAAGUGCUAGACGUGGUUCUGGAGGCUGGAGACCUGCUGUACUUUCCCCGCGGAUUCAUCCAUCAGGGAAAUUGCCUCCCCGAUGCCCACUCCCUUCACAUAACCAUCUCCUCCUACCAGAGGAACAGUUGGGGAGACCUGUUGCAGAAGCUGGUGCCCGUAGCCCUGGAGAUGGCAAUGGAAGAGGACGUGGAAUUCAGGCGAGGACUGCCCACAGAUUAUCUGACCUACAUGGGCGUUCAGAACUCUGACAAGGCAGAUCCACGGAGGAGUGAGUUCACAGCACGGGUAAAGGACUUGAUGAGGAGGCUGGCAGAUUUUGCUCCGGUGGAUGCUGCCGUAGAUCAGAAGGCCAAGGAUUUCCUGUACGACUGCCUCCCCCCCCUGCUUACACCAGAGGAAAAGGCCAGCAGUGUGCAUGGAGCUCUCGCCCGGUGGGAGAACGGGGAGGCCAAGGAUGCCUCCAUCCAUUUGAAGGGGCACACCAAAAUUCGACUAAUCCGCGAUGGGAUCGCAAGGUUAACCAGUGAUGGAGAUAGCAUUCUUCUGUGUCACACCACAGACAAUUCCAGAGUUUACCACAAGGAAGAGCCAAAGAACUUUGAAAUAAGAGAUGAGCACACGGAUGCCAUGGAGUUCCUGAUCCACUCAUAUCCCAAGUUUGUGUCUGUGGGCAGCUUGCCAUGCGAUUCUUUUGAUAAUAAGGCUAUCCACCUGCUGCUCUCCACCACCACCACCCAGCCCCGCCCAUCAUCUGAGCCGCAUUAUGAACAAUGUAAACAGUGACUGACUGACCAUGUUGACCACCAAUCAACACCCUGAGCCAACCACAGGAGGAUGGGUUUCCCCCUUGAGCCUGAUUUCUUCUGAGGUUUCUCCCCAUCUGCUACAGGGAGAUUUUCCUUGUCACUGUUGCUUUAGGCUUGCUGCUGUGGGGGUCUAGACCAGGGUUGUUUGAUUCAGAUUCAGAUUCAGACAACUCUAUUGAUCCCAAGAAGGGCAAUUAAUUUGCAGCUUACCCAGUCCAUACACACAACUCCAAAACUCACAGACAAGGUAGUUAUAUGUCAGAGGCAACAGAUCAACAUACAUGGGUCAAUACAAGAAAACAACGAGCAGCAGUAAAUAAUAAGAAAAUAAAAAAAAUACUAAUAUGAAGCGUAUUGUGACAAUAUUGCUGUGAAAUACGCUAUAUAAAUAAACUUUGAUUGAUUGAUUGAUAUUUGUCAGAUUGCUUCUGGGGCUUGAGCAUUAAUACUGGGAAAAUGCCCUCGUAAUAGCCCCAACGUCCCAAUUUGUCAACUCAUCGUUUGUCAGUUGCGAGCAUGCCUGUCGAGUGCUAAAUGAAAUAAUCAAAAAUAUUUUCUUUUUUUUAUUCUCAAACCAUUAAAAGAUCACCAAAUUUUACCUAGGCUUCUGCUGUAAAUGGAGGGGGUGGGCAGGGCUUUUUGUUUUUGCACCGUGCCAUGUAGCCUACUGUUGUGCGAAAAGCCAUCAUAGCUGGACUUGAAUCUUGUGAAACAUCCGCCUACCGCUGUAUUUAAGUGCGACAUUGUUGUGAUAACCGUCUAUGUGCGGAAGGCACUAACUACUGAGUCUUGUGUGACUAUAACUUUCCACUUCAUUGAAGAUGGGUUUAUGUGUUAACCCGUGCAAUGAGCAAAGAAUCAUACAAUCAUACCUGAAAAAAAUAUAACAAUGCUUAUUUCUAUUAUUCAAACAUUUUAAUCUCAUGAUGUGCACUGAUUGAAGUUGUGGCCUGUUUUUAUUACCAUCCUCUAUCAGUUACAAAAAAUUAUUGGCCUUUAGCAACCAGUUGAUGAUCAGAAAUGUAUGUCGUUCACAUCCUCUAUUAGUCAAUGUGUACCAACUGUACUGUAAUUGUGAUAGGAUCAAGAGAAAGUGUGGCCAGUGGAUAUAAUGACAUCAUAUAUAUAUAUAUCAAAUAUGUAAGGUCAAAUAUGUAGUGAAUAUGGUAAACAUUUUGUACACUGUUCAUUGUUCAGACAAAAUUGUUGAGGUGGUUUGAACGUUUUUAUGAUGGCACAAACAGUUUCAACAAGUUGCUGUUUCUGAGACUUUAGCCAUUACAGGCCUGCUUAUUCUGUACUCUGUAAACCCCCUUCCUAUACAUCAUGUUCCCAUGGAUGAAUGAAUACAUUUUGCCAUAUUUGAAGUUAGCACAAACUUACUAUUACUCAUCAAUGAAAUGGGUGUUCUUGUUAUACUCAUCAAAGGUCCUGGGUUCGAAUCCGGCCUGGGUCUUUCUGUGUGGACUUUGCAUGUUCUCCCCGUGUCCGCAUGGGUUUCUUCCGGGUGCUCCGGUUUCCUCCCACAGUCCAAAGAGAUGCGGGUAGGCUAAUUGGAGAUUCUAAAUUGCCCAUAGGUAUGAGUGUGUGAGUGAAUGGUGUAUGUGCCCUGCGAUAGAUUGGCGGCCUGUCCAGGGUGUAUUCCUGCCUCUCGCCCAAUGCACACUGGAAUAGGCUCCAGGACCCUGACCAGGAUAAGCAGAUGUCCCUGGCAAAGGUCCUCUUUGAGCGAGGUCUUGUGCAAACUUCAGAGCCUUUACUUCCCUCAUGAACAACCUCCACACAGCCAAUGACAUAUAUCAGCAUUCUGCUGAGUGGUGCAAAGCAGAAGAUCUCUGAUAUUUGAAUACUGGUGUGGUUUUGUGAUAUGCAAAUAAAAUAUUAUAGAUAUGCA